AUGUUAGGUUUCACCUUACAAGGAGUGAUUUUCAUUGUAAACAGUUACUACAGUUUGAAGGAAGUGAAACAUGUCAACAUACAGACCACAGGCAUGCCUGCAGCAUUUUCCACGAAAUCUCAUUUUGAUCUGUUAUUUCUUUUGAUUUUAUCUUGCCCCAUUUGCCUACAGUCACAUACAGUCCUGUCAGUUAUAACAAUUUUAUACCAAAGUUUUACAAUUUCUAAAAACUUUUUAUUUUUAUCACAUUUUUAUUCAGUGUGCAAUAUAUUGUACAGUAAAGACUCUACAAAAACCCAUACAGACAAACCCCCAACAAGUCUUUUUCAGUAUAUACAGAUACAAAAUAAAAAUAUCACAGUCACCUCCUGAUUUCUUUUUUUGUCGUUUGAUUUUUUUUCCCGUUUUCAGGAAUCUUUAGUUCAGUGUCCAGUGUUGAUUAUUGGAGAGGUCAGCUCAGUCAACUUGUUGCUUAAAGUACAUAGUCUCGAGCACUUAGAACUGUAAAAAUAUACAAAAGAUACAGCAGAACAAAGACUUUUUAAAUUCCGCAUCCAAUUAUGUUAUUCAGUGAAUGAUGCAGUUGCUUAUUGAGCUUUGUUGAUCAUGAGACAGCAUGUUACCUGGCUUCUUACGAUGCUUCAUUUCCCUACACGCAAAGCAGCAUGACACUGCUAUCAGGAGAAGUGCCAGUACACCACAGGCUAUGACCAGGUAAAGACACUUGUCUGCUGAGGGAAGAUCACAGUGAUAACAAUUAGAAAUUUAUUUAAGUGUAAAUUUUGGUAACAGUUUAUUAUUACUAUCGUUAUCUGAAUGUAAAUAUACUGAUGCUUGGGCACAACCCCCACCCACUGGGUACUCUUAAUCCUUUUUUCUUAAGGUGUAGGGUAGUGGGUGGAUGCAUUUUAACUUGAACUCGUUACUCCAGGUUCCUCCACCACCCCACCUGUCUGCCCAUGUGGUCUAUAAAUGUCUAUAAUAUUUAUAGAUGCCACAUGCAGUGUUUUUUAACAACAUAUUUUUUUAAGUUUCUUGCAACUUUAAAAUAGUAAAGUGUUAUCGCUGUUUUUUCAUUUGGCUUUGACUACAGUGGAAAUUCAGCAUAAAUGUCACUGUGUUUGCAACAUAGAAGAUCCCAACAUGAAACAAGUCAAUAUAAAAAAAUAAUGAAUCUUGGACAUCUAUCUCAGCUACCAUUACGCAGUUGGGACUGUUGUAGUCCCAAUUAUCAGGGACUACAACAUCUUGUCCUUUUACUGAAUGAUUCACUAAUUGACCAAGAACUCCAGGUUUUGUUUCUUCAAAGAUCUUUACUUCUUGACAGUUCCUGAUUCACAUUUAUUCUUAUCUUUCAUUACUUUUCAUUUGUUCUGUGAAACACUUAGUUAAGAAAAGUGUUAUGUAGAUAAAGUUUAUUGCUCUGACUGUGAUUAUUUGCUACCCCCACCAAACCACACCAGAGGUGUAGUGUUAGACACUGAAGAAAAACCACACUGACAACUUCUGUUAAACCACCUGUUUCCUGUUACAGAACCACACCUACUACAACACAUCCAUUUCACAGCUUAAUGUGCUCAUAUGGUGCAGCUAAUAAUAAUCAGUGACCAAGUGGAAAGUUUUAGUGUGCCUUUUAAGUUCAGGUGGUAGUUACUGAAAAAUAAAAAGAUAACUAAAUCGUGGUAUGAACAGCUGCCCUUGUGUGGCUAAAAUAACUGACAAUACCAACAGAUACAAAGAUGUUGUAUCAACAAAUAUUCUGUUCAUUCUCCUCAAGAAAUCGAAAACAUUAAAAAACGUGAUACAUUUUCAUGUCUCUGCGUUUUCUCUGUUUAAUCUAUUAUUAGUUGCACAAGUAAUGUGUACUGUGUUUUGCAGUUCUACUCUCACAUGCUUACGUUUCUGAUUAACUUUAUAAUAAUAUCAAAAAUUUAACAUCAUGAGUAAGUUACCUUCGAAAUUCCAGAGUCCCUUGCCUUCAACUUUGCCGUUGUCUUUAACAUUCAGGGUGAAAUAAAUGUUUUUCUGUGCGACUCCAUCUGAAUUAUAGACCUCAAUGCUGUAUUGACCUGAAUCAUUCCUCCUUACAUUUGUGAUCUUGAGUGUCCCGUUCUUGAUUUUAAACUUCAUUCUGUUGUUAAAUUCAUUGUCUAUUGUUAUUUUUUCUUUCUUCAGAUUGAACACAGUUAUGUUCACCUUGGGAAGCACCUUCAAACACUGCAGUUCAUGGCCACUAGCAUCAGUCAUCACUUGGAUAUACACAGUUCCUUCAAGAAAAGGAGAACAUGGACAUGUGCUCAUCCUGAGGUCACAUGUAGUCUCAUCAACUGGAACCAGAGCUGGAAAAGAUUGAUUCAAAAGAACAUGAGUGGAAAAAAUUCACACUACAAAUGUAAAUGUUUGGCAUCUUUGUGAGGAUGAUCUUACCAUGAGUUCCUGCUGCCAAUAGUGCAAGAAUAAGAAACUGCUCCAUGCUUUUCAUCCACCCACGCUGUGGUUUUAAUGUUUUAAAAUGAAUCUAGAAAAUUUUGGACAAAUCCGGGUGUAAAUCUGCUGUGAACCUCAGCCCUAACUGACAGGAAACAGUAAACGGGAGAUGAUAUAGACAGGGUAUUUUCACAGGGGCAGGAAAUAAAGUGACUCACUUUGCUUGCCAACACAAAGAGAACUAAGACAGGCUGCUGUACUGAACUGAUCUUAAGAAAUAUUUACCACAUAUGAACAAAUAUGUUCUCCUCUCUGCUGUAAUCGCAUGUGAAAACCUGAAUCUAAACAACACCAGGAAACUGCAGUCAUGCUUUCAGAACAGUCAGCCACACAUGGUAUGUUGGUUACCACAGAUAGUGUGAGAAAGAGCAAUCUAAAACUAAGUGACAAAUUAAGUCACUGAUAGUCCAGAAGCUUCUGUGAGGAGAACUUUAUUGUUUAACAGUCUUUACAGGGUGUGCAGGACAGAUGUCUUUUUCUGUUUGUAGGUUUGCAUAAGUUUGCUUUCCAAAAAGGAAGAGAAAUGAAAGAUGUAGAGCAAAUAAAAUGCAGACAACCUGGUUAAAAGCACCACGCGAAAAGGAUGCAAAUCUUUGCCACAAUAUGAAACUGUGAGGCAAUGUUCUCCAGAUAACAUUAAAACACACAAUCCUCUUAUCCAUUAAAGGAGGCUGAAUUCAAUAUGAAAAUUCCUGCUACAUGACUCACAAGUAUUUGGGUAAAGAAAACAAAUUCAAAUGAUGCAAAUUUAUAUGUGAAUAAGAAUAAGUUUGUAAUAGCACAACAAAUUUUAAAAAGUAAAUGUCAAAUAGUCCCUAUGAACAUAGUAGCAUUAAACACUGCAGCUCUGCACAGGUGGAAGCAAGCUUUACAAUUCUUCACUUACUCUUAAUUAAGCGUAGUAAGCAAGAGAAGUGAUGGAGAACAUUAACAGAAUAAGAAUCAUCAUAAGGAAAGAAGAAUGUACAUUGCUUACUUACAUUUUAAUGGACGCACACAACAGGACAGGCUAAGGCAGUAACACACAUAUAACCACUAAACUGGAACUGAGAAAACCCAUCUGUGUGAAAAAAAGAACCUACAUGGGUACUUCCUGUAUUAGAGCAGAGAUGGAAGCUACCACUCUUAUAGGGGUGCAGUGAACCUGUGCGAAUAGUACAGGGCUUUUAAACACACUGAAGCUGUUUGUUUUGCAUGUUUCCUCCUACCCUGCUCUAAAAAUAGAAGAAACAGCUAUGUCUGUACAUGCAUGUCCACCAGCAUAUAUGUGCCCGGCUGGGCAUCUCAUCAGUUUUUAUUCUGGCACAAUGAGGCAAACAAGCCUGUUUUUUAAAACAUAUUGCUAUGUUGCUUUGUACUGAUUUUUGCUAAAGUCCUUGCAAUCGUUCAAGCUCAUCGUGAAUAGCUGUGACAAAUGAAGAAGGAAGCCCUCUUCUAAUAUUCAGUGGAACAGGUAGCUGCUAUUAAAAGUAUAGAACAGCACAAAAAGAAGUGUACAGAAACAAAGAAUAUUCUUCAGGUAAAAAUAUGCAAAUACAAUAAUCCAGAGACUAAUGUUUACAAUUAAUGUCACAUUGCCACAGAGGUAGUCAUCAUUUACACUGAUCAAAGCUAGAAAGCUUCUGAUGAUUCCACCUUGUCAUUCUUGUCAAGUACACAGAUUUUGAGUUUGUACAACAGUAAACACACUAGCUUGCACAGUUGCACCUGUAAAAUGGAAUUUGCUCAUGUGUUUUUGAAGCUUAUAAUGUUCACUUUUGCAAAACAAACACUUGUAAUUGAGAUACAAACAAAUUAAUAAUGAAAACAUCACUGGACCCAACCAGUUAUUCUUACAGAAAUCAAACAUGCACCUGCAACUACAGCUCAAUCUUGCAGAAACCAGGCCCAUGAGUGAGAACACAUCUUCAGAUGUUCUCUCAACUAAAAUAGCACCUCUUGAUAAACCAGUGAU
ensembl:lncRNA